UGAGCAUGGGAUACUACAUUGGGAAUAGUCG
rnacentral:tRNA from 5 species